rnacentral:rRNA from 1 species
ACCCGUUGAUCCUGCGGGAGAACGCUGCUAUUUGGGUUCGAAUUAGCCAUGCAAGUCUGGGGGUCUUCGGACCACCGGCAGACUGCUCAGUAACACGUCAUUAAUCUGACCUGCAGUCAGGGAUAGCCUCGGGAAACUGAGGGUAACACCUGAUGAGGUACACAAGCUGGAAUGCUGUGUACAACAAACUCGUGCUGCAGGAUGAGAUGGCGGCUGAUUAGAUUGAUGGUGGGGUAAUGGCCCACCAUGUCUAUGAUCAGUACGGGCCUUGAGAGAGGUAGCCCGGAGAGGGACACUGAGGAACUGGUCCCAGCCCUACGGGGUGCAGCAGGCGCGUAACCUUUACAAUGCACGAAAGUGUGAUAAGGGAACCCAAGGUGCUCAUGUUAUGCAUGGGCUUUUUUCAAGAGUAAAUAUCUUGGCGAAUAAGUGGUGGGCAAGACUGGUGCCAGCAGCCGCGGUAACACCAGCGCCACGAGUGGCGUUCACGAUUAUUGGGCCUAAAGCGUCCGUAGCUGGUUCUGUAAGUUUCUUGUGAAAGAGUGGGGCUCAACCCUACUUCGCGCAAGAAAGACUGCAGGGCUAGAGACCGGGAGGAGUAAGAGGUAUUUCAGGGGGACUGGUAAAAUGGAAUAAUCCCUGAAGGACCACCAAUGGCGAAGGCAUCUUACUAGAACGGUUCUGACAGUGAGGGACGAAAGCUAGGGGAGCGAACCGGAUUAGAUACCCGAGUAGUCCUAGCCGUAAACGCUGUGUGUUAGGUGUUGCAUUUCUCACGAGGAAAUGCAGUGUCGUAGGGAAGCCGUUAAACACACCGCCUGGGAAGUACGGUCGCAAGGCUGAAACUUUAAGGAAUUGGCGGGGGAGCACCACAAGGGGUGCGGCGUGCUGUUUUAAUUUAACUUUACACAGAGAAUCUCACCAGAGGCGACUGCUGGAUGAUAGCCAGUCUAAAGGGCUUGCUUGACUAGCAGAGAGGUAGUGCAUGGCCGCCGUCAGUUCGUGCCGUGAGGUGUCCUGUUAAGUCAGGUAACGAACGAGACCUAUAUCUAUAAUUGCCAGUGGCUGUUACGGCAGGACCGGGCACAUUAUGGAGACUGCCUUGGAAACGAGGAGGAAGGUGUAGGCAACGGUAGGUCUGUAUGCUCCGAAUCUUCUGGGCUACAAGCGCGCAACAAUGGCGGAGACAAUGGGCUGCGACUCCGAAAGGAGGAGCCAAUCCUCGAAACUUCGUCUAAGUUCAGAUUGUGGAUUGUAACUCAUCCACAUGACGCUGGAAUCCCUAGUAAUCAGGUAUUAUCAGUGCCUGGUGAAUAUGUCCCUGCUCCUUGCACACACCGCCCGUCAUUCCAACCGAGCAGUGUUUAGGUGAGUAUUAUAUGUAGUGUGUAAUACGAAUCUAAGCUCAGUGAGGCGGGACAAGUCGUCACAAGGUA